GCCUGGCUGGCUCAGUUGGUAGAGCAUGUGACUGACUCUUGGUCUUGGGGUCAUGAGUUCAAGCCCCAUGUUGGGCA
rfam:Felis catus isolate Cinnamon breed Abyssinian chromosome D3, whole genome shotgun sequence.